AAUUUGGUGAUGAGCUAGGGCAUGGAAGGGAACUCACGGCCAAGCAAGAGAAAGAAGAGGUCUUUGUGAUAUUUUCUAAGUACAAAACAAUGACCAAAGUCAUCCUAUGUAAGGGCAUCAUGAUCAUUCCUAGCCAUAGGAUCAAAUAGUGCCCCUAAAGCAAGAUUAAACCCUAACCAUUGGAUCGAUCCAAGUCUAUCCUCUUAAGAUAUUUUCUUUCUCUCAUGAGAACUCACGCCUCACAGACGAGUCGCAUUACGCUUAUGGACCAAACUCGCGAAACUAGAAAAUUUAGAAACUAAACGUUCGCCUUAAACGAUUUCCAAAAAUUAUCGCGAAAACAUUUUUCCUCGACUGUAAUUUUCUUCCACACUCUCGAAAAUAUUCUAAAGUCAUAUCCCAACUCAAGCCGAUAUAUAAAGUUCCCAUCUAAAAUAUAAACGGAUUCGGAGUUAACGAAAAUUCGGNNNNNNNNNNNNNNNNNNNNNNNNNAAAACAAACCCCGUGCCAUUCCGACACUCGAGCACAAAACAGGCACGAUCUCAGCAAACUAUGUCGUUAUAACGACGAUACUCGAACUAAUAACCUUCGAACCCUAAUUAACCUAUCCACAACCCAUGCUCUUUCAAUCGAAGAACCUAAAAACCAUUCCUUAGCUCAACAAACAAACUUCGGAAUCGAAAUCUACGCGAAAAACUAAGCAAAAUAGGUUCCGGGUGCAAAAAUCCCUAAAAAGUCAACAAAAGUCAACCCUCACAAACCAAGCCUGCGCGCGUUGCGCCAGGACCAGAACCUACAGGAUUAUGGGUCUUACA
rnacentral:lncRNA from 1 species